rnacentral:tRNA from 1 species
GGGGUUGUUGCUCAGUGGUAGAGUGCUCACCUAGAACUUGUGAGGCACUGGGUUCAAACCUCAGCACCACA